rnacentral:rRNA from 1 species
GACAGAGGGUGCAAACGUUGUUCGGAAUUACUGGGCGUAAAGCGCGUGUAGGCGGCCCUGCAAGUCGGAUGUGAAAUCCCACGGCUCAACCGUGGAAGUGCAUUCGAAACUGCAGGGCUAGAGUCCUGGAGAGGAAGGUGGAAUGCUUGGUGUAGAGGUGAAAUUCGUAGAUAUCAAGCGGAACACCGGUGGCGAAGGCGGCCUUCUGGACAGUCGACUGACGCUGAGGCGCGGAAAGCGUGGGGAGCGAACGAGGA